GUGGGGAAUAUUGGGCAAUGGGGGAAACCCUGACCCAGCAACGCCGCGUGAGGGAAGAAGGUCUUCGGAUUGUAAACCUCUUUUACCAGGGAAGAAGAAAGUGACGGUACCUGGAGAAAAAGCCACGGCUAACUACGUGCCAGCAGCCGCGGUAAUACGUAGGUGGCAAGCGUUGUCCGGAUUUACUGGGUGUAAAGGGCGUGUAGGCGGGAAGACAGGUCAGAUGUGAAAUGCCGGGGCUCAACUCCGGAGCUGCAUUUGAAACCGUUUUUCUUGAGUAUCGGAGAGGCAGGCGGAAUUCCUAGUGUAGCGGUGAAAUGCGUAGAUAUUAGGAGGAACACCAGUGGCGAAGGCGGCCUGCUGGACGACAACUGACGCUGAGGCGCGAAAGCGUGGGGAGCAAACAGGAUUAGAAACCCCAGUAGUCC
rnacentral:rRNA from 1 species